rnacentral:rRNA from 1 species
UCACCCUCAAGGGAAUCCAGCAGUGAUAAACAUUAAGCCAUAAGUGAAAACUUGACUUAGUUACAGCCAUUAGGGCCGGUAAAACUCGUGCCAGCCACCGCGGUUAUACGAGAGGCCCAAGUUGAUAGAAACCGGCGUAAAGAGUGGUUAAGUAAUCCCCUAAAACUAAAGCCGAACGCCCCCAAAACCGUUAUACGUUCAUCGGAGGUAUGAAGCCCAACUACGAAAGUGGCUUUAAAAUACCUGACCCCACGAAAGCUGUGAAACAAACUGGGAUUAGAUACCCCACUAUGCUCAGCCCUAAACUUUGAUAAUUAAACCACACUCACUAUCCGCCCGGGUACUACGAGCUCAAGCUUAAAACCCAAAGGACUUGGCGGUGCUUAAGAUCCACCUAGAGGAGCCUGUUCUAGAACCGAUAACCCCCGUUUAACCUCACCCUCCCUUGUUCUUACCGCCUAUAUACCGCCGUCGUCAGCUUACCCUGUGAAGGAUUAAUAGUAAGCAAAAUUGGCAUAGCCCAAAACGCCAGGUCGAGGUGUAGCGUAUGAGAGGGGAAGAAAUGGGCUACAUUUCCUACCUCAGGAAAUACGAACAAUAAGUUGAAACACUUGUUAGAAGGAGGAUUUAGCAGUAAAUGAGAAUCAGAGCGUCUCAUUGAAGCAGGCUCUAAAGCACGCACACACCGCCCGUCACUCUCCCCGAGAUAAAAUCACCCCAUACUUAAUCAACUAAGUAAACAUAAGGGGAGGCAAGUCGUAACAUGGUAAGUGUACCGGAAGGUGCACUUGGA